GCCACUUUAGCUCAGUUGGUAGAGCACUUCCUUGGUAAGGAAGAGGUCGGCGGUCCGAUUCCGCUAGGUGGCUCCA
rnacentral:tRNA from 1 species